AUUUUGGACAAUGGGCGCAAGCCUGAUCCAGCCAUGCCGCGUGAGUGAAUAAGGCCUCCGGGUUGUAAAGCUCUCUCGGACGGAAAGAAAUCGCGCAGGCUAAUACCCUGCGCGGAUGACGGUACCGCCUAAAGACCCCCCGCCUAACUCCGUGCCACCACCCGCGGUAAUACGUAGGGCGCGAGCGUUAAUCGGAAUUACUGGGCGCAAAGCGUGCGCAGGCGGUUGAUUAAGACAGGCGUGAAAUCCCCGGGCUUAACCUGGGAACUGCGCUUGUGACUGGUCAGCUAGAGUACGGCAGAGGGGGGUGGAAUUCCACGUGUAGCAGUGAAAUGCGUAGAGAUGUGGAGGAACACCGAUGGCGAAGGCAGCCCCCUGGGCCGAUACUGACGCUCAUGCACGAAAGCGUGGGUAGCAAACAGG
rnacentral:rRNA from 1 species